UACGUAGGGUGCAAGCGUUAAUCGGAAUUACUGGGCGUAAAGCGUGCGCAGGCGGCUAUGCAAGACAGAUGUGAAAUCCCCGGGCUCAACCCUGGGAACUGCAUUUGUGACUGCAUGGCUAGAGUACGGCAGAGGGGGGGAUGGAAUUCCGCGUGUAGCAGUGAAAUGCGUAGAUAUGCGGAGGAACACCGAUGGCGAAGGCAAUCCCCUGGGCCUGUACUGACGCUCAUGCACGAAAGCGUGGGGAGCAAACAGG
rnacentral:rRNA from 1 species